rnacentral:rRNA from 1 species
AGAGUUUGAUCCUGGCUCAGAUUGAACGCUGGCGGCAUGCCUUACACAUGCAAGUCGAACGGCAGCGCGGAAGAAAUCGUGCCUUGGAUGGCCAAACGGGUGAGUAAUAUAUCGGAACGUGCCUUAGAGUGGGGGAUAACUAGUCGAAAGACUAGCUAAUACCGCAUACGACCUACGGGUGAAAGUGGGGGAUCGCAAGACCUCAUGCUCUUAGAGCGGCCGAUAUCUGAUUAGCUAGUUGGUGGGGUAAAAGCCUACCAAGGCGACGAUCAGUAGCUGGUCUGAGAGGACGACCAGCCACGCUGGGACUGAUUAACUGCCCAGACUCCUAC